rnacentral:lncRNA from 1 species
AAUUAUCAGGUACUUUCGUUUCUUGGUAAUGAUUCUAAUGUUCAUGAGAAUAUGAUGCUGCCUAAAUUGGAUACUUUUGUUUUGCUUACAAAUGAAGGGCCUGGAUUGGAGAAGGAUGAACAUUGGAGCAAGAACAAGCAUGGAGUUGAUGGCAUGCGCAAGGGGAACAAGAACGGAGUUACCAGUGAUGAUUUCAGGACUUUGAAGCCACCAUAAGGAGUGAAUGAAGCCUUGGACGAAAUAUACAAGAUGCCACUUCAUAAAUUUUAUCCAGAGGCUAUUCUAGGUGCUGCGUCACCUUAUUAUUGGGCCUGGCCCAUGUAAUUUCGAAAUACAUAAGUAUAGGCUGUUUUUAGAGUCCGUAUGUGUGGGGAAACAAGAGAUAGGGUUGGUUUCGGACCCCUUCUCCAAGGGCCACGAAAUUCCCCCCUCUUCCUCCAUAUAUACAGCCCUUAGGACACCAUUUAGACUUUGGGUUUUGUUUAGAUUAAAAGUUCGCCAUAGCUGCAACUUCGCGUACUUCGUUUGUGUUCAACGACCAGACAAAGGCGUCACAGAACCCCACCUUGAUCAAUAAAGCUUUCAUCUUAUAUUCGCAAUAUCCAGAUUGCAAUCUCAGUUUCUUGCUUGUUCUUCGAUUGCUCGCAGGAAACAGACCCUCCUGGUCAGGUUGAUCGUGCUCCGGCGUGGUCAAUAACCUCUCGGAGUUGGUUUAGCGAUUGCUAAGGCGCGACGUCCUCGCACGUUCGUAGUCGGAUCGUCAAAGUCGACUUCCAUCAAAGCGAUAUCCAUCAUCUCAUCGAAAGACGGGACACCUUUGCCUCUAUCGCAUAUCAUAUCUCGCAUAUCAUACAUGUUUUGCAUCAUGUUGCUUGUGCAUUUCUCGUGAUUGAUUGUGGUUUCGUUGCUUGUGUUCUUGUCUUGGGAAGAGCCGGGAGACGAGUUCAUGAACGAGGAACCUGUUGAGUACGCUUACGAGGAUCAAGCUUUCGACAACUCUGAGAACCUUGCAGGCAAGAUGACCAUACACUCGAAAUCACUUCUAUCUUUGCUUUGCUAGUUGUUCGCUUUAUUGCCAUGCUGCUCUACCUACCACUUGCCAUAUCAUGCCUCCCAUAUUGCCAUGUCAGCCUCUAACCAUCCUUUCCUAGCAAACCGUUGUUUGGCUAAGUUACCGCUUUUGCUCAGCCCUUCUUAUAGCGUUGCUAGUUGCAGGUGAAGUUGAAGUUGGUUUCAUGUUGGAACAUGGAUAUUUUGAUAUCACAAUAUCUCUUAUUAUAUUAAUGCAUCUAUAUAUUUGGUAAAGGGUGGAAGGCUCGGCCUUAUGCCUGGUGUUUUGUUCCACUCUUGCCGCCCUAGUUUCUGUCAUACCGGUAUUAUGUUCCUUGAGUUUGCGUUCCUUACGUGGUUGGGUGAUUUAUGGGACCCCUUGACAGUUCGCCUUGAAUAAAACUCCCCCAGCAAGGCCCAACCUUGGUUUUACCAUUUGCCACCUAAGCCUUUUCCCCCGGGUUUUCGCGAGCCCGAGGGUCAUCUUUAUUUUAACCCCCCCGGGCCAGUGCUCCUUCGAGUGUUGGUCCGAACUGAGUAGACUGCGGGGCCCUCUCGUGGAAACUCGAGGUCUGGUUUUACUCGUAGGAUAUUUCAUCCGGUGUUGCCCUGAGAACGAGAUAUGUGCAGCUCCUAUCGGGAUUUGUCGGCACAUCGGGCGACUUUGCUGGUCUUGUUUUACCAUUGUCGAAAUGUCUUGUAAACCGGGAUUCCGAGAUUGAUCGGGUCUUUCUGGGAGAAGGUUUAUCCUUCGUUGAACGUGAGAGCUUAUGAUGGGCUAAGUUGGGACACCCCUGCAGGGUAUUAUCUUUCGAAAGCCAUGCCCGCGGUUAUGAGGCAGAUGGGAAUUUGUUAAUGUCCAGUUGUAGAGAACUUGUCACUUGACUUAAUUAAAGUACAUCAACCGUGUGUGUAGCCGUGAUGGUCUCUUCUCGGCGGAGUCCGGGAAGUGAACACGGUUUGAGUUAUGCAUGAACGUAAGUAGGAGUUCAGGAUCACUUCUUGGUCAUUGCUAGAUGACGACCGUUCUGUUGCUUCUCUUCUCGCUCUCAUUUGCGUAUGUUAGCCACCAUAUAUGCUUAGUGCCUGCUGCAGCUCCACCUCAUUACACCAUUCUUUUCCUAUAAGCUUAAAUAGACUUGAUCUCGCGGGUGUGAGAUUGCUGAGUCCUCGUGACUCACAGAUUCUACCAAAACAGUUGCAGGUGCCGACGAUGCCAGUGCAGUUGAUGAGAUUGACCUCAAGUGGGAGUUCGAUGAGGAACGUGGUCGUUACUAUGUGUCUUUUCCUGAUGAUCAGUAGUGGAGCCCAGUUGGGACGAUCGGGGAUCUAGCAUUUGGGGUUAUCUUAUAUUCAUUUGGAUCUUGACCGUAGUCGGUCUUUGUGUGUAUUUUGGAUGAUGUAUGAAUUAUAUUUAUGUAUUGUGUGAAGUGGCGAUUGUAAGCCAACUCUUUAUCCCAUUCUUGUUCAUUACAUGGGAUUGUGUGAAGAUGACCCUUCUUGUGACAAAACCACAAUGCGGUUAUGCCUCUAAGUCGUGCCUCGACACGUGGGAGAUAUAGCCGCAUCGUGGGCGUUACAUACGUCGCGUAUGUGUGUUGAUUGUAGAUGCAUUAAUAAUAUUACUAUUCGUUAUCGUCAUCCUAUUCCUAGGCUAGAUGAUAUGCUUGAUGAAUUGAGUGGCUCUACAAUAUUCUCCAAAGUUGAUUUGCGUAGUAGAUACCAUCAAAUUCGUAUGAAAUUGGGAGAUGAAUGGAAAACUGCAUUUAAAACUAAGUUUGGUUUAUAUGAGUGGUUAGUCAUGCCUUUUGGGUUAACUAAUGCACCUAGUACUUGCAUGAGACUAAUGAACGAAGUUUUACGUGCUUUCAUUGGACGAUUUGUGGUAGUCUAUUUUGAUGAUAUACUGAUUUAUAGCAAAUCUUUGGAAGAACAUUUGGAACAUUUACGUGCUGUUUUUAUUGCUCUAUGUGAUGCACGUUUGUUUGGUAACCUUGGGAAGUGCACCUUUUGCACCGACCGAGUAUCUUUUCUUGGCUAUGUUGUUACUCCACAGGGAAUUGAAGUUGAUAAAGUCAAGAUUGAAGCUAUUGAGAGUUGGCCGCAGCCCAAAACGGUCACACAAGUGCGGAGUUUUCUUGGACUCGCUGGUUUCUAUAGGCGUUUUGUGAGAGAUUUUAGCACCAUUGCUGCACCUCUCAACGAGCUUACAAAGAAGGAUGUGCCUUUUGUUUGGGGUACCGCACAGGAAGAAGCCUUCACGGUAUUGAAAGAUAAGUUGACACAUGCUCCUUUACUCCAACUUCCUGAUUUUAAUAAGACUUUUGAGCUUGAAUGUGAUGCUAGUGGAAUUGGAUUAGGAGGUGUGUUAUUACAAGAUGGCAAACCUGUUGCAUACUUUUCUGAAAAAUUGAGUGGGCCUAGUCUGAAUUAUUCUACUUAUGAUAAAGAACUAUAUGCUCUUGUUCGGACUUUAGAAACAUGGCAACAUUAUUUAUGGCCCAAAGAAUUUGUUAUCCAUUCUGAUCAUGAAUCUUUGAAACAUAUUAAAAGUCAAGCUAAACUGAAUCGUAGACAUGCUAAAUGGGUUGAAUUCAUUGAAACUUUACCUUAUGUCAUUAAACACAAGAAGGGUAAAGAAAAUGUUAUAGCUGAUGCAUUGUCUCGUCGCUAUACUAUGCUUUCACAACUUGACUUCAAAAUAUUUGGUUUGGAGACCAUCAAAGAUCAAUAUGUGCAUGAUGCUGAUUUUAAAGAUGUAUUGCAGAAUUGUAAAGAAGGAAGAACCUGGAACAAGUUUGUCGUUAAUGAUGGAUUUGUGUUCCGUGCUAACAAGCUAUGCAUUCCAGCUAGCUCUCUUCGUCUUUUGUUGUUGCAGGAGGCGCAUGGAGGAGGAUGAAUGGGACACUUUGGCGUGAAGAAGACGGAGGACAUACUUGCUACACAUUUCUUUUAGCCAAAGAUGAGACGGGAUGUUGAGCGUUUUGUUGCUCGCUGCACUACAUGUCAAAAAGCUAAGUCAGGACUCAAUCCUCAUGGUUUAUAUAUGCCUUUGCCUGUACCUAGUGUUCCUUGGGAGGAUAUAUCUAUGGACUUUGUUUUAGGUUUACCUCGAACAAAGAAGGAGAGGGAUAACAUAUUUGUUGUCGUGGAUAGAUUCUCGAAAAUGGCACACUUUAUACCAUGUCAUAAAGUGAUGAUGCUGUUAAUGUUGCUGAUUUGUUCUUUCGUGAAAUUAUUCGCUUGCAUGGUGUGCCAAAUACUAUUGUUUCAGAUCGUGAUACUAAAUUUCUUAGCCACUUUUGGAGAUGUUUAUGGGCUAAGUUGGGGACUAAACUGCUUUUUAGUACUACUUGUCACCCCCAAACUGAUGGACAAACUGAAGUAGUCAAUAGAACAUUGUCUACUAUGCUUAAGGCUGUUUUGAAGAAUAAUAAGAAAAUGUGGGAAGAAUGCUUGCCUCAUAUUGAAUUUGCUUAUAAUCGUUCAUUGCAUUCUACUACUAAGGUGUGCCCUUUUGAAACUGUGUAUGGUUUCCUACCUCGUGCACCAAUUGAUUUGUUGCCUCUUCCAUCUUCGGAGAAGGUUAAUUUUGAUGCUAAAGAACGUGCUGAAUUGAUUUUAAAAAUGCAUGAGUUAACUAAGGACAACAUUGAGCGUAUGAAUGCUAAAUAUAAACUUGCUGGAGAUAAGGGUGGAAAACAUGUUGUGUUUGCACCUGGAGAUCUUGUUUGGUUACAUUUGCGUAAGGAUAGAUUUCCUAAUUUGCGCAAAUCAAAGCUAAUGCCACGUGCUGAUGGUCCUUUUAAGGUGUUAGAGAAAAUAAAUGAUAAUGCAUAUAAACUUGAGCUACCUGCAUAUUUUGGGGUUAGUCCCACUUUUAACAUUGCAGAUUUGAAGCCUUAUUUGGGUGAGGAAGAUGAGCUUCCGUCGAGGACGACUUCAUUUCAAGAAGGGGAGGAUGAUGAGGACAUCAAUACCAUUGUUACACCCACAACCCCUACUGUUACAUAUAAUGGACCAAUUACUAGAGCUCGCGCACGCCAAUUAAAUUACCAGGUACUUUCGUUUCUUGGUAAUGAUUCUAAUGUUCAUGAGAAUAUGAUGAUGCCUAAAUUGGAUACUUUUGUUUUGCUUACAAAUGAAGGGCCUGGAUUGGAGAAGGAUGACCAUUGGAGCAAGAACAAGCAUGGAGUUGAUGGCAUGCGCAAGGGGAACAAGAACGGAAUUACCAGUGAUGAUUUCAGGACUUUGAAGCCACCAUAAGGAGUGAAUGAAGCCUUGGACGAAAUAUACAAGAUGCCACUUCAUAAAUUUCGUCCAGAGGCUAUUCUAGGUGAUGCGUCACCUUAUUAUUGGGCCUGGCCCAUGUAAUUUCGAAAUACAUAAGUAUAGGCUGUUUUUAGAGUCCGUAUGUGUGGGGAAACAAGAGAUAGGGUUGGUUUCGGACCCCUUCUCCAAGGGCCACGAAAU